AGUGGCAAUUUUGCGAAGCCCGGUAUUGAAAGGGGCAAAUAGCCGAUUUUCUCUCGGCUGUGGGAGGCGCAAAGUUCCACCCCAAACAGAUGUUGAAGGGAAACAUAACCCUAGCUUACGAGGCACUCCCCACCCAACCCUCGUUCUCCUGGUAUAGCGGCGGCUGGUUGCUCCCCUUUCGCUCCGGCUGCAAUCUCAUCUCGAUCUCCGACUCUGAUCGACUCCAACCUCACCUUCCCCACAUAAAUCCAUCCACACACCCAAGGCGGAGAGGAGGGCCAACCGAUCUGGGAUCGAUCCACACACCGGAGAGGAAGAGCUUGAUGGCACUCGAUCUGCAAUCCAUGGACAGCGGCCUGGCUGCUCUUGCUGCUUCUUACCUCGGCGGGGAGGAAGCCGUCAAGAAGCCUGACAGCAGUCCAUCCGCAGGAGAGGGAAAGGUAUUGAUUUUCCGCAGGCGCCCAAUCACACAGGAUUCCCCGUCCUUGAAUCCCCUGCUUAUGGCUACCCCGACGGCGGUGGCGACCAGCCAAGCUUCGUCUUGAUCGAGCCAUACGCCUUCUUUGCCGACCGCCGCAACGCCACCACCGCCGACUGCGGCUUGGAGGGUCUCCGUCUCCGGGGUAACAUCGAGGUCACCUUCUGCACCGCCCAACCACCGCAGGUCUCCUACCUAUGCUUCCACGUCACCGCCUACGACCACAACGUGUUCGCCACCCGGCCUAGCAUAGUCGCCACAGAGACUGACGGUGGGCUCGUCCUCCUAUGCGUCGUAGUCGGUGAUUGCCCAUCCGAUGCGUUGUAUCGCCGCAAUCGACACUACUUCGUCUACGACGCCAGUGUUCCCGAGCUCAAGCACAUCAAGCAGCCCGGCAACGACCACCCAGAGCUAAUGGGUUCAGAUAUGGCAAUCCUUCUCACCUCUGCCUCUAUGACCAUGAUACCAACUCCUGGAGCAAGCUGCCAGUGAAUGUCGAUUCAGUCCCCGACGCCGACGAGUUCAUCACAUACAAGGCAAUCACAAUCGGAGGUGAUGAAGGAACAGUGGCCUGGGUUGAUCUCUCGCAUAUGAUCAUCUUCUGCAACGUGCUGGACAAACGCCCCAAGCCUCAUUUCUUAAGACUGCCUAGCAAUGCAACUCGAUCGCCCGCUGUUCGGGACGUUUCAGUCCUUAAUGGCUUCAUCAAGAUGGUCGAGCUGGAGCACCGUGCUAUUGGUUGGAAGGCCACAAUAUGGAGCAUCAAGACUGGCAUCUUCUCCAAAGCGCAUUGGAGUGUCGAUUGCCAGUUCGAUUCCUCUGCUAUACCUGAACCGCCGCUGCCUAAGCUGAAGGUCCGUGAAGGUGUCACAGCCUACCUUGUCGACUCUCCAUAUUGGCCUGCCCAAGCUGAGCCUGCAAGAUGAUUGCAUUCUUUACUUACUAGCUAAGAUUGACUACCGCGACAGGCAGCACACAUCAUGGGUGCUUGCUGUUGACAUGAAGAACAACACUGUCCAGAGAGUGGCUGAGUUUAGCCCCAAGAGGGCUAUUGGUUUAGCCAGGGGCUACGAUUCAAGUACGAUCUCCAAAUAUCUCAAAGUUGGUCCAGGGAAAGGCGUGCAAGAAGCUGAGCAGUGACCGGAGAUGACGCCAUGGUGAUUAACAAGUGGAAGGAGUUUGCAUUUGAGCUGAACUGGAGUAUAUGACCUGAAAAUAAUGCAUGUGCAUUGAUGGAGGGUGUCUCAGGACUAUCCUUCGUUUGUCUGUUUCUAGACCUUUUUUAUUAAUAUGUAUCCAUCUCGUCUAUAUUGCCUCAACACCGACUCUUGUCGCUUUAUUUAUUAUGUGAUCUGCAACAAGAUAAUAUGAACUAUAUUAUAUCAGUUGUACUACCCUUUGUUUUGA